rnacentral:rRNA from 1 species
AAUGAACGCUGGCGGCGUGGAUAAGACAUGCAAGUCGAACGAGGAACUGAUUAGCUUGCUUUGAAGUUCCUAGUGGCGGACGGGUUAGUAACACGUGAGCAACCUGCCUUAAAGUGGGGAAUAGUCCUGGGAAACUGGGUUUAAUACCGCAUGUGCCCUACGGGGUAAAGGCUGCUUUUAGCAGUCGCUUUAAGAUGGGCUCGCGUCCUAUCAGCUAGUUGGUGAGGUAAAGGCUCACCAAGGCGACGACGGGUAGUUGGUCUGAGAGGAUGAUCAGCAACACUGGAACUGAGACACGGUCCAGACACCUACGGGUGGCAGCAGUCGAGAAUCAUUCACAAUGGGGGCAACCCUGAUGGUGCAACGCCGCGUGGAGGAUGAAGGCCCUAGGGUCGUAAACUCCUGUCAUCUAGGAGUAAGGCAUGAGAGUUAAAAGCUGCUCAUGUUUGAUAGUACUAGAAGAGGAAGGGACGGCUAACUUCGUGCCAGCCGCCGCCGUAACAC